GUGGGGAAUAUUGGGCAAUGGGCGAAAGCCUGACCCAGCAACGCCGCGUGAAGGAAGAAGGUCUUCGGAUCGUAAACUUCUAUCCUUGGUGAAGAUAAUGACGGUAGCCGAGAAGGAAGCCCCGGCUAACUACGUGCCAGCAGCCGCGGUAAUACGUAGGGGGCAAGCGUUGUCCGGAAUGAUUGGGCGUAAAGGGCGCGUAGGCGGCCUGGUAAGUCUGGAGUGAAAGUCCUGCUUUUAAGGUGGGAAUUGCUUUGGAUACUGUCGGGCUUGAGUGCAGGAGAGGUAAGUGGAAUUCCCGGUGUAGCGGUGAAAUGCGUAGAGAUCGGGAGGAACACCAGUGGCGAAGGCGGCUUACUGGACUGUAACUGACGCUGAGGCGCGAAAGUGUGGGGAGCAAACAGGAUUAGAUACCCUUGUAGUCC
rnacentral:rRNA from 1 species